UACGUAGGGCGCAAGCGUUGUCCGGAAUUAUUGGGCGUAAAGAGCUCGUAGGCGGUUUGUCGCGUCUGCUGUGAAAACCUCAGGCUCAACCUGGGGCUUGCAGUGGGUACGGGCAGACUAGAGUGCGGUAGGGGUGACUGGAAUUCCUGGUGUAGCAGUGAAAUGCGUAGAUAUCAGGAGGAACACCGAUGGCGAAGGCAGGUCUCUGGGCUGACACUGACGCUCAUGCACGAAAGCG
rnacentral:rRNA from 1 species